UUUAGUAGUCAUACGCUCGUCUCAAAGAUUAAGCCAUGCAUGUGUAAGUGUAAAUAUACUAGUUUGGAACUGCGAAUGGCUCAUUAUAUCAGUUAUAGUUUAUUUGGUGAAGUGUACUACUUGGAUAACCGUAGUAAUUCUAGGGCUAAUACAUGAGAAAGUCCUCUGGUGAGGUGUGUUUAUUAGAAUGAAAACCAUAUGCUUCGGCAUGAUAGUGAGUAAUAGUAACCUAUCGUAUCGCAUGCUUAAUGUAGCGAUGAGUCUUUCAAGUUUCUGCCCUAUCAGCUUUCGAUGGUAGUAUAUGGGCCUACCAUGGCAGUAACGGGUAACGAAGAA
rnacentral:rRNA from 1 species